CCUACGGGUGGCAGCAGUGGGGAAUAUUGCACAAUGGGGGAAACCCUGAUGCAGCGACGCCGCGUGAGUGAAGAAGUAUUUCGGUAUGUAAAGCUCUAUCAGCAGGGAAGAAAAUGACGGUUCCUGAUUAAGAAUCCACGGCUAACUACGUGCCAGCAGCCGCGGUAAUACGUAGGGGGCAAGCGUUAGCCGGAUUUACUGGGUGGAAAGGGAGCGUAGACGGUAGAACAAGUCUGGAGUGAAAUGCCGGGGCUGAACCCCGGAACGGCUUUGGAAACUGUGCAGCUAGAGUGCAGGAGAGGUGAGUGGAAUUCCAAGUGUAGCGGUGAAAUGCGUAGAUAUUAGGAGGAACACCAGUGGCGAAGGCGGCUUACUGGACUGUAACUGACGUUGAGGCUCGAAAGCGUGGGGAGCAAACAGGAUUAGAUACCCGAGUAGUC
rnacentral:rRNA from 1 species